rnacentral:rRNA from 1 species
AUUGAACGCUGGCGGCAGGCCUAACACAUGCAAGUCGAACGGUAGCACAGAGAGCUUGCUCUCGGGUGACGAGUGGCGGACGGGUGAGUAAUGUCGGGGAAACUGCCCGAAGGAGGGGGAUAACUACUGGAAACGGUAGCUAAUACCGCCUAACGUCGCAAGACCAAAGUGGGGGACCUUCGGGCCUCACACCACCGGAUGUGCACAGAUGGGAUUAGCUAGUAGGUGGGGUAAUGGCUCACCUAGGCGACGAUCCCUAGCUGGUCUGAGAGGAUGACCAGCCACACUGGAACUGAGACACGGUCCAGACUCCUACGGGAGGCAGCAGUGGGGAAUAUUGCACAAUGGGCGCAAGCCUGAUGCAGCCAUGCCGCGUGUAUGAAGAAGGCCUUCGGGUUGUAAAGUACUUUCAGCGGGGAGGAAGGCGGUGAAGUUAAUAACUUCACCGAUUGACGUUACCCGCAGAAGAAGCACCGGCUAACUCCGUGCCAGCAGCCGCAGUAACAC